ACUAAAAAAAGGUUGGAAAACACUGCUCUAGAUUAAUCCAUUAUCCAUUGGUAAAUAGAAUGGUAGAGCAGGGACCUCCAGUUAUGUAUAUAAAAGUGAGUGUAGCAUUAAAGGUGGGGUAAGCGAUUUUUCAAAAACGCUUUAGAAAACUGAUUCGGGCCGAGUAGCAAAACAAACUGGUAGCCAAUCAGCAUUAAGGGACGUGUCUACUCAUGAUGUGGAGGAGAGAGCCCCAUCAUGAAGACGUU